rnacentral:rRNA from 1 species
GAUGAACGCUGGCGGCGUGCUUAACACAUGCAAGUCGAACGAUGAAAGCAGGAGCUUGCUCCUGCUGGAUUAGUGGCGAACGGGUGAGUAACACGUGAGCAAUCUGCCCCGAACUCUGGGAUAAGCGUUGGAAACGACGUCUAAUACCGGAUACGACGCGCGAAGGCAUCUUCUGCGCGUGGAAAGAACUUCGGUUCGGGAUGAGCUCGCGGCCUAUCAGGUAGUUGGUGGGGUAAAGGCUCACCAAGCCAACGAUCUGUAGCUGGUCUGAGAGGACGACCAGCCACACUGGGACUGAGACACGGCCCAGACUCCUACGGGAGGCAGCAGUGGGGAAUUUUGGACAAUGGGCGCAAGCCUGAUCCAGCAACGCCGCGUGAGGGACGACGGCCUUCGGGUUGUAAACCUCUUUUAGCAGGGAAGAAGCGAAAGUGACGGUACCUGCAGAAAAAGCACCGGCUAACUACGUGCCAGCAGCCGCAGUAACAC